GCUUCCUUGGCUCAGUUGGUAGAGCGUUGGUCUCAUAAUUUUCUUUGAGGGUUGAUUCAGCCAAUAAUCCAAAGGUCGCCAGUUCAAGCCUGGCAGGGAGCA
rfam:Sphaerobolus stellatus SS14 unplaced genomic scaffold SPHSTscaffold_33, whole genome shotgun sequence.